AUUGAACGCUGGCGGCAUGCUUUACACAUGCAAGUCGAACGGUAACAGGCCGCAAGGUGCUGACGAGUGGCGAACGGGUGAGUAAUGCAUCGGAACGUGCCCAGUCGUGGGGGAUAACGCAGCGAAAGCUGCGCUAAUACCGCAUACGAUCUAUGGAUGAAAGCGGGGGACCGUAAGGCCUCGCGCGAUUGGAGCGGCCGAUGUCAGAUUAGGUAGUUGGUGGGGUAAAGGCUCACCAAGCCAACGAUCUGUAGCUGGUCUGAGAGGACGACCAGCCACACUGGGACAGAGACACGGCCCAGACUCCUACGGGAGGCAGCAGUGGGGAAUUGUGGACAAUGGGCGCAAGCCUGAUCCAGCAAUGCCGCGUGCAGGAAGAAGGCCUUCGGGUUGUAAACUGCUUUUGUACGGAACGAAAAGGCUCUGGAUAAUACCUGGGGCUCAUGACGGUACCGUAAGAAUAAGCACCGGCUAACUACGUGCCAGCCGCCGCGGUAACAC
rnacentral:rRNA from 1 species